rfam:Camelus ferus unplaced genomic scaffold scaffold216, whole genome shotgun sequence.
GAGGGUAGAGCUCAGUGAUAGACUGUGUGCCUACCACGCACGAGGUCCUGGGUUCAAUCCCCAGUAUCUCUA